rnacentral:rRNA from 1 species
UACGGGGGGGGCAAGCGUUGUUCGGAAUUACUGGGCGUAAAGGGCUCGUAGGCGGCCAACUAAGUCAGACGUGAAAUCCCUCGGCUUAACCGGGGAACUGCGUCUGAUACUGGAUGGCUUGAGUUCGGGAGAGGGAUGCGGAAUUCCAGGUGUAGCGGUGAAAUGCGUAGAUAUCUGGAGGAACACCGGUGGCGAAGGCGGCAUCCUGGACCGAUACUGACGCUGAGGCACGAAAGCGUGGGGAGCAAACAGG